UUUAACUGAGCGUUCAGUUACUUGACGUAGACCCGAAACCGGGCGACCUACCCAUGAGCAGGAUGAAGCGAAAGUAAAAUUUCGUGGAGGUCCGAACCCACGAGCGUUGAAAAGCUCGGGGAUGACUUGUGGGUAGCGGUGAAAUUCCAAUCGAGCCCGGAGAUAGCUGGUUCUCCCCGAAAUAGCUUUAGGGCUAGCCUCAAGGUGAGAGAUACGGAGGUAGAGCACUGAAUGUCCUAGGGGGUAUUGCACCUACCGAAGACUAUCAAACUCCGAAUGCCGUCAUCUUAUACUUGGGAGUCAGACUGUGGGUGAUAAGAUUCAUAGUCGAAAGGGCAACAGCCCAGAUCGUCAGCUAAGGUCCCUAAAUGUAAGUUAAGUGGUAAAGGAUGUGGGAUUGCACAGACAACCAGGAUGUUGGCUUAGAAGCAGCCACUCAUUCAAAGAGUGCGUAAUAGCUCACUGGUCGAGUGAUCCUGCGCCGAAGAUUUCCGGGGCUAAAACUUACUACCGAAGCUACGGCAUCAGUAAUGAUGGGUAGGGGAGCUUCCCAUACGGGUUGAAGCAUGACCGUAAGGACAUGUGGACAGUAUGGGAGUGAGAAUGUUGGCAUGAGUAGCGAGAUGUGGGUGAGAAUCCCACAGGCCGUAAACCCAAGGUUUCCAGGGGAAGGUUCGUCCGCCCUGGGUUAGUCGGGACCUAAGCUGAGGCCGAAAGGCGUAGGUGAUGGACAACAGGUUGAUAUUCCUGUACUACCGAUAACCGUUUGAGAGAAGGGAUGACACAGUAGGAUAAGCUAAGCACACUGUUGGUUAUGUGUGCCCAAGCAUUGAGGCAGUCAAAGUAGGCAAAUCCGCUUUGAUAAUGCUGGGAUGUGAUGGGGAGCGAAAUUUAGUAGCGAAGUAGCUGAUUUCACACUGUCAAGAAAAGUCUCUAUCGAGGUUAAAGGUACCCGUACCGCAAACCGACACAGGUGGGUGAGGAGAGUAUCCUAAGGCCAGCGAGAGAACUGUUGUUAAGGAACUCGGCAAAAUGACCCCGUAACUUAGGGAUAAGGGGUGCCACCAUCAGGUGGCCGCAGAGAAUAGGCCCAAGCGACUGUUUACCAAAAACAUAGGUUUCUGCUAAGUCGCAAGACGAUGUAUAGGAGCUGACGCCUGCCCGGUGCUGGAAGGUUAAGGGGAUCUGUUAGAG
rnacentral:rRNA from 1 species